rnacentral:misc_RNA from 1 species
GAUGAAGAACGUAGCGAAAUGCGAUAAGUAAUGUGAAUUGCAGAAUUCAGUGAAUCAUCGAAUCUUUGAACGCACAUUGCGCCCGCCAGCAUUCUGGCGGGCAUGCCUGUUCGAGCGUCAUUUCAACCCUCGAGCCCCCCCGGGGGCCUCGGUGUUGGGGGACGGCACACCAGCCGCCCCCGAAAUGCAGUGGCGACCCCGCCGCAGCCUCCCCUGCGUAGUAGCACACACCUCGCACCGGAGCGCGGAGGCGGUCACGCCGUAAAACGCCCAACUUUCUUAGAGUUGACCUCGGAUCAGGUAGGAAUACCCGCUGAACUUAAGCAUACAAUAAGCGGAGGA